rnacentral:piRNA from 1 species
GAUUACUUGAAGUAAGAUUCA